UCCCGGUGGGGCGGCCGCCCUCGGGCUGGCGGAGGCGCCGGAGGAGCCCCCGAGCUGCAGCCGUCUCCCUCGGGCUGCUGCCGGUGCUGCGGGCGGAGGCGGCUCCGCCGCGUGUUGGGCGCUGCGAGCAGGGAGCGCUGCGGUAUCGCCGGCAUGACGGGGCUGCUGCCUGCGUUAGUGCUCGUGGCUCUUUGUGCCGUGACAGCGGAUGGAGCGGCGCUGGGCGGUAAAGCCAGAGAUGGCCGGGAGAAUGCCCAGCGCAGGGAGCGGGCGGGCUGUGUGCUUCGGAUGGCACAGGGUACUCACAAAAUAUGUCUCCCUUAGUGUCCCACAGAAACAUUCUGGGUGAAAUCUGAAUUAAGUGCUAUGAGUCUUGAUAAAUUGGAGAAGUGCCCAAGAGAAAUUCAUCAUCCUGAGAUACAAAAGGUAGGAAGUGACUUUUUUUGGUUUGGUUCUUUUUCUUUAUUGUUUUCUGGAAAUAGAAGUAAUUAAGUAUAGAUACUACUGGUUUGUUUCUUCCAGUAGCUGAUAAUACUAAUACCAAUAAUAAUAAUAAUAAGAGUAAAGUAAUACUACUUCAACUGUCUUUAUUUAUCCAUUGAACUGGCCAUUUUAAAUCUAAACUUCUAAACACAAAUCAAACCAUCAUCCUUGUAGAAUCUUUAAUAGGAGUGGGCUAAAGAUCCUGGUUUUGUUGACAGGAUUUAUUGGUUCGUGAAGAGCAAGAGGUAAGUACAAGCCUAACUACCCUCUAGCUCACAGACCUGCCCGGUGAAUAGAGCUUUGUUUUUUUGAUGGGCUUGUGAUGACUUUGAGAUCAAUUGCUCAUUCAUUACAGUAAAAAAAAAAAAAAAGUUUUGAACAUGACAGCAAAAAUAACUUUAAGCACAACUUAAUAAUAAUAGAUCACCAAUUUUAGUUAAUAAUUUUAUGCUAUACUCUUGGGUGAGGGAAGACUCGGACACUCAAUAUGAGAUCAGCAAGCUAUGUUUAUUGCAGAGAGUAUCAGACACUUAUACAGCACAUAAUAAGCUUAUGAAUAUUCUGUAAGCCAAGCGAUCUAUUGGUUAAACUAUACCAUCAACUCUUCCUCAUUCCUUUGGGCCUACAUUCCCUAUUUCCCACGUCUCUCUGUCUACUUGUUAUCCUACCCAGCUAGGCCCAGGCACACGCUAUCUUGCAGGUGCAAAACUCAAAAAUACCUGUGUUCGGUACUUUCCCAGCUCCUGGUCGGCUAACGAGAGAAUGUCUGCGUGACCUCUGUCAUGGAGCCAUUUCUCCACACUAUACUAUCAAAGUUUAAAGGUAAAUUAUUAUAUAUUAGGAGAUGGUGUAAAGUGUAUGUUGUAAUGUGUAGGAUAUAUACAAAGAUACAUUCUUGAAAGUCUGUAGAGGAAACAAAUUUUUACGCCUUCUGUUUGACUGUUUGUCAUAUAUUUGGUUUUAUUUCCCAGGGAUCAGUGAAUUUUAACUCUGGAGUCCUCUAUGCUAAGGAUGCUCAGCUUACAGAUGAUGAAAUGUUCAGUAAUGUAUUUGCUGCAGCUCUGCUUACCCAAGCUUUGGGUUCCUUCUGUCCCACUGGGAGUGGCCCAAUUUGGUUGCAUCUGGUGAAAUUCACCCUGAGACCUUACAGAACCAGCUCCAACUACGUGAGAGCCAUUUGCAGUUCUCUCCAGACGCCUGGAGAAUGGGCGACGUUUCUGAGGAUCCGGCGAGCGUGCUUCUGUCAAAACUCAGUCUGUGAAGUUUCUGGGGAAAACCCUUCUGUGUCCUGAAGGGUUCAAACUCUGGUGAGGAUCCAGUUAUCAGGUGCUCACCUGGAUGGUUCCAGCUCCCAAAGCAGGGAAAGACUCUCGUAUCCUUGUCGUCAGGCUCGGUGCUGUCCAAGAAGAUACGGGGACUAAAAAAAUCAUAAGAAGCAAAAUAUGACUGCAGGGAAAAGAAGCUGGAGAGAACAGAAGGUGAUAUUGUUAUCCUUACCCUGUAUUAGAAACAUCCGCUGUGCUUUGAUGCUGGCAGCUGCCGGGGGCUUGUUAGCUCUUUGUAGGCAGGUGUAGGUGUUCACUUGUAGGUUUUUUCUCUGGACAAGGCAAUUCAAACUUUGCUAAGCUUAUAUUUGCAGAUUACUCUCUAGCACAGUCCAGCAUGACAUUUUUGAAUGUUGUAAAAAUACCAUGUUACUUGGAAAUGGCUAAUGAAGAGAAGCUUUAGGGGAAAAUAAGAUUUUAGGGUUGGGAGAUGUGAGAAGAAUUGUGUGGGGAUGUUAGACUGAAGUAAAGCACACUUGAAGCUGGACUGGCAUGCUGGCAGGUCCCCUAUUAAACAGUAGUGCUGAGAUUAGCCUGGGGGUUGCCCAUUGUUUCUGUAGAAAUCAAUGUUUCCUGGUCUUCAGAGGUAAGCUGCUUUGAAAAGCUGGAAGGUGCAGCAUGCUGACAAUCCCCGUGCUUUGGAUUAAAAGUAGAUUUCAGAAGGGUCCUAAGCUUUUGUCUUUGCCUAGAAGUCGAUGUAAUCCUGUCGAGGAGUUUUUAAUUCUGUGUUGCCAUGUCAUCCAUCAGAGCCCUGCUGUACUAAUCAUCAUACAAGUACAAAACAAAAAAUCAGACCCUGUCCCACCCACUUAGAGCCCAGAACACGAUUUCCUCGGGCUGCCAUUUGUGUGCCAUCGGUACUCACCACAGAAGGGAGCUGGGGAUUGUUGCAGCUGUUGGGAACAAACCGCUUCUCGUCACACAGCAAUGGAAUUGGGACAACGCCUCGGCCAGCCCCUCUCUGCCAUCGUCUCCUGAAUCUGCAGCAGAGCAGUUCCAGUCCAUCCGGGCACGUGUAAUCCAGUUCCUGAUGAUCUGAGCACACGGAGAAGCACUCAGCUGCUGUGGGGGGCUCACGGAAGGCAGAGUGUGCAUUGUCAUCUUCCUGAACCUACAGACGAAUCAAAGUGAGAAGCCACAGCGUGGAAAUCAGUCGCAUAUAUGCUAAAUAAAACUUGCAGAUUUUUUUAAGAAUUGUUGUUUCUUGU